rnacentral:rRNA from 1 species
UACGUAGGGGGCAAGCGUUGUCCGGAUUUAUUGGGCGUAAAGAGCGUGUAGGCGGCCAGGUAGGUCUGCUGUGAAAACUCGAGGCUUAACCUCGAGAUGUCGGCGGAAACCAUCUGGCUAGAGUCCGGAAGAGGAGAGUGGAAUUCCUGGUGUAGCGGUGAAAUGCGCAGAUAUCAGGAAGAACACCCGUGGCGAAGGCGGCUCUCUGGGCCAUAACUGACACUGAGGGACGAAAGCUAGGGGAGCGAAAGGG